UGUACCACUUUAUCAUCUCCUCGCUGUACCACUUUAUCAUCUCUCCUCGCUGUACCACUUUAUCAUCUCUCCUCGCUGUACCACUUUAUCAUCUCUCGUCGCUGUACCACUUUAUCAUCUCUCCUCGCUGUACCACUUUAUCAUCUCUCCUCGCUGUACCACUUUAUCAUCUCUCCUCGCUGUACCACUUUAUCAUCUCUCCUCGCUGUACCACUUUAUCAUCUCUCCUCGCUGUACCACUUUAUCAUCUCUCCUCGCUGUACCACUUUAUCAUCUCUCCUCGCUGUACCACUUUAUCAUCUCUCCUCGCUGUACCACUUUAUCAUCUCUCCUCGCUGUACCACCUGUGUUUUGUCUUUGUAUGCCUCUAUGUUGUGAAAAAGUUACUUUUUCUUUAUCAGAAUUCUACUAGGUUUCCAUAACUAGGUUUCCAUAACUAGGUUUCCAUAACUAGGUUUCCAUAACUAGGUUUCUAUAACUAGGUUUCCAUAACUAGGUUUCCAUAACUAGGUUUCUAUAACUAGGUUUCCAUAACUAGGUUUCCAUAACUAGGGUUCCAUAACUAGGGUUCCAUAACUAGGUUUCCAUAACUAGGUUUCCAUAACUAGGUUUCCAUAACUAGGUUUCCAUAACUAGGUUUCCAUAACUAGGUUUCUAUAACUAGGUUUCCAUAACUAGGUUUCCAUAACUAGGUUUCCAUAACUAGGUUUCCAUAACUAGGUUUCCAUAACUAGGUUUCUAUAACUAGGUUUCCAUAACUAGGUUUCCAUAACUAGGGUUCCAUAACUAGGUUUCCAUAACUAGGUUUCCAUAACUAGGUUUCCAUAACUAGGUUUCCAUAACUAGGUUUCCAUAACUAGGUUUCCAUAACUAGGUUUCCAUAACUAGGGUUCCAUAACUAGGUUUCCAUAACUAGGUUUCCAUAACUAGGUUUCCAUAACUAGGUUUCCAUAACUAGGUUUCUAUAACUAGGUUUCUAUAACUAGGUUUCCAUAACUAGGUUUCCAUAACUAGGUUUCCAUAACUAGGUUUCCAUAACUAGGUUUCCAUAACUAGGUUUCUAUAACUAGGUUUCUAUAACUAGGUUUCCAUAACUAGGUUUCCAUAACUAGGUUUCCAUAACUAGGUUUCUAUAACUAGGUUUCUAUAACUAGGUUUCCAUAACUAGGUUUCCAUAACUAGGUUUCCAUAACUAGGUUUCUAUAACUAGGUUUCUAUAACUAGGUUUCCAUAACUAGGUUUCUAUAACUAGGUUUCUAUAACUAGGUUUCUAUAACUAGGUUUCCAUAACUAGGUUUCCAUAACUAGGUUUCCAUAACUAGGUUUCCAUAACUAGGUUUCCAUAACUAGGGUUCUAUAACUAGGUUUCCAUAACUAGGGUUCCAUAACUAGGUUUCCAUAACUAGGGUUCCAUAACUAGGGUUCUAUAACUAGGUUUCCAUCCAAUAUGCACAUUUUCCCACCAGUGGUGUGUUUCCACCAAACUGACUGGUUGAUGAUAAAAUCAGUUCUUGAUGACGUAGUGCACAAAAACAUGUCUUUUUCGGUGAAGGUUUCAUUUACUGAAUAAAAAUGGAAAGUUCAACGUGUUUCCAUCACUUUUUUACCGAUAGUUGUGACACAAAACCUGUUGCAUUAAAUAGCAUAUGUGCCGACUCUGGUCGUGCGCGCCAGCCAACAACAGCUAUACAGUGCAGGCUGUGCAGGUAGGCUCGUCUACAUGGUGAGAAUAUUUUGUCCAACAGCAGUCAAGCAUCAAUCAUCAUGUCACCAGAAUAAGACAUUUUUGGAAAGGUGUAUCAAGAGGACCACACAUCAUAUCAUCGUGUGACUCCAAGUUUAUGUCGAUAUGAUGGUUAUUAUUUGCGCAUAAAGGGAUUUCCACCGCCAUUUCACGCAUAAUACAUUUUACUGACACAAAUAGAUGCCACCAUUUCAAACUAACAAAUGAUCUGUCAGCAUUUACAAAAUUGUACCUAAACGUACUGUUUCAUAGCUGUCA